CGAGAACAGCUCCUUGUACAGCGCCGGGAAAACGACGUUCGGGUGCUGCAGCUUGAACUUGCUCAGCGAUUCCAUGUGCAAGAUGGAAAUGUCGCUGAAAAAUUAAAUUGGAAGUGUUCAAAUUGACUUGAAGAAGGAAGAACUUUAAUACAUACAUAAGGAAUACUAGUUCUUCUUAUAAACCUUUAUAUGCUAUCUUUUGGAUAAAUGCUUUCUUUUCUUAUGAAAUCUAACAGAGAUGUUUAUUUUUAAUAAAGGAUUAUAAGGUAAA